AUACGGGGGGUGCAAGCGUUAAUCGGAAUUACUGGGCGUAAAGCGCGCGUAGGCGGUUUGCUCAGUCGGAUGGGAAAGCCCAGGGCUCAACCUUGGAACUGCAUACGAUACUGGCAAACUAGAGUGUGAGAGAGGAUAGUGGAAUUUCCGGUGUAGCGGUGAAAUGCGUAGAUAUCGGAAGGAACAUCAGUGGCGAAGGCGACUGUCUGGCUCAACACUGACGCUGAGGUGCGAAAGCGUGGGUAGCAAACAGGAUUAGAAACCCUAGUAGUCC
rnacentral:rRNA from 1 species